UUACGGAAGGCAGCAGUGAGGAAUAUUGGUCAAUGGGUGCAAGCCUGAACCAGCCAUGCUGCGUGCAGGAUGACUGCCCUAUGGGUUGUAAACUGCUUUUAUACGGGAAGAACAGGCACCACGAGAUGGUGAUUUGACGGUACCGUAGGAAUAAGCAUCGGCUAACUCCGUGCCAGCAGCCGCGGUAAUACGGAGGAUGCGAGCGUUAUCCGGAUUUAUUAGGUUUAAAGGGUGCGUAGGCGGAUAAGUAAGUCAGCGGUGAAAGCUUGUUGCUUAACAACAGAAUUGCCAUUGAUACUGCUAAUCUUGAGUACAGUUGAGGUAGGCGGAAUGUGUAAUGUAGCGGUGAAAUGCUUAGAUAUUACACAGAAUACCGAUUGCGAAGGCAGCUUACUAAGCUGAAACUGACGCUGAGGCACGAAAGCGUGGGGAGCAAACAGGAUUAGAUACCCUGGUAGU
rnacentral:rRNA from 1 species